rnacentral:misc_RNA from 1 species
AACUUUUAACAACGGAUCACUUGGCUCUCGCAUCGAUGAAGAACACAGCGAAAUGUGAUAAGUAAUGUGAAUUGCAGAAUCCCGUGAAUCAUCGAAUCUUUGAACGCAUCUUGCGCUCCUUGGCAUUCGAAGGAGCAUGCCUGUUUGAGUGUCGUUAAACUAUCAAAACACUUUUCUUGGGUGUUUUGGACUUGGAAGUAUCUUGCUGGUCUGUUUGGGCCAGCUCUCCUCAAAAGCAGUAGCUUUGGAGACCAUCAGUGUGAUAAUUUGUUUACACUGACUAGAGUGUCUCAGCUUCUCCUUUUCAAUAAUACCCCUUUGACCUCAAAUCAGGUAGGACUACCCGCUGAACUUAAGCAUAUCAAUAAGCGGAGCCU